AGGAAGUGCAAGCAACUGCGAUUGCUGCAGUAACGGCGAGUGAACGGGCAAAGGACAUGGCUCACCCUGAAUGGGGAAUCCCAAUCGGCUAUUGUUGGAUCUCGGCACAUGCUGUGGGCUGUGGAGUGGAUGGUAUGUGUGCGCUGGUGGACCACAGCGCCAGGAAGAGAACCCUGGAACGGGUCGCGACAGAGGGCUACGGCCCCGUACUCAAAGUGUGAUGUGCGCUGUGGCUCCGCCAGUGUGCCGCUGUCCACAUCCAGGAGUAGAGUGGCUUGGGACUGCAGUUUGAAGUGCGAUGUGUAUCCAUCGCAAGGAAGCAUACAGACCUGGGACCGAUAGCGCACAAGUAGAGUGAUCGAAGGAUGCAAAGAACUCCGCAAAGAGGGUUAAAAGUCCCUGAAGCCUCGACAGGGACGGCGGUGGGCAGUGCUGUGGUGAAGAAUCAUCACGACAACUCCAAGCGACCUUGGGCCAGCCCUGGACUGGUCAACUGAGCCUGCGGAUGACCGUGAACUCGUUUUCAGGCAGACGUGGAUGCAAUCGUGUGGCAGUCUGACAUUGUUUGAAAGGUGGCAACCGGCCUUGCCAGGGCCCAAGGGGAAAGAAGACGAAGAAGAAGCUGACGAGACGAGACGAGACGAGACGAGGAGAGAAACUCUCUCUCUCUCUCUCUCUCACUCACUCACUCUGKUGUGCUGGAUUACGACACGAGACGCAACACACUGUGUGCUAGCAGCUGUGUUUGUGUCUGUGUCAAUCACCGUGGCCUCAAUGCCUGGAACAUCUCUCUUCUGAGAUGGGGUCGUGACUGUUCGGAGACAGCACCACGUUCACUUGAUGGUGGUCACUGAGCCUGGUUUGGUCGAUCCCCCAVCUGGGGUCUGGUGUGCUGGAGACACGCGUUGUCUGAGGCUUGGGGAAGAGCACACACCAUGUGUGCUGUGGAUUCAGUGCUGCCCCCUGCCCGUCUUGAAACACGGACCAAGGAGUCUAUGGGGCUUGCGCAAGUCACAAGGUGCACAGUUCGUCUCGAGCUGAUGUGUGCCAGACCGAAGUGCGAAGUGAAGGCGACACCGUUGCUCUGUCAAAAGAGAUCCAGAUUGGGGUGUAACAUCAACCCGGUGUGAUAUGCAUGGAUUCGACCGGGCCCGAAGUCCAGUGGACAGGGUUUCGAGUGCUUGCAAGAUCCCAUGGGACCCGAAAGGUGGUGAACUAUACCAUUCGACGACGAAGCCAUGGGAAACUGUGGUGGAGGUCGGUCGCUGUUCUGACGUGCAAAUCGUGUAGCCUGAGAGUGGCAUAGGGGUGAAAGGCCAAUCGAGCCACCUAGUAGC
rnacentral:rRNA from 1 species